GAUGAACGCUGGCGGCGUGCCUAAUACAUGCAAGUCGAGCGAAUGGAUUAAGAGCUUGCUCUUAUGAAGUUAGCGGCGGACGGGUGAGUAACACGUGGGUAACCUGCCCAUAAGACUGGGAUAACUCCGGGAAACCGGGGCUAAUACCGGAUAACAUUUUGAACCGCAUGGUUCGAAAUUGAAAGGCGGCUUCGGCUGUCAAUUAUGGAUGGACCCGCGUCGCAUUAGCUAGUUGGUGAGGUAACGGCUCACCAAGGCAACGAUGAGUAGCCGACCUGAGAGGGUGAUCGGCCACACUGGGACUGAGACACGGCCCCGACUCCUACGGGAGGCAGCAGUAGGGAAUCUUCCGCAAUGGACGAAAGUCUGACGGAGCAACGCCGCGUGAGUGAUGAAGGCUUUCGGGUCGUAAAACUCUGUUGUUAGGGAAGAACAAGUGCUAGUUGAAUAAGCUGACACCUUGACGGUACCUAACCAGAAAGCCACGGCUAACUACGUGCCAGCCGCCGCCGUAA
rnacentral:rRNA from 1 species